ncrna:Lactobacillus gasseri ATCC 33323 Fluoride riboswitch
AUUAUAAUAGGUGAUGGCGUUCACCAAUUUAACCGAUUAAGAUCUGACGACGCCUACUUUCUU